UGGACUCCUGACCUCAAGAAAUCCUCCCGCCUCGGCCUUCCGAAGCUGGGUUUCCUGCCCUGAAAAUGAACGAAGCCCCUCCCCAGAACAGCUUACUAGAGAAAACAUACCAACGCUGGCGAGUCUCAGACAUUCUCUCACAAAAGACCCAGGGACUCCAAAUUAAAGGGAGGAUGCUUAGGAAAGGAAAGCCUGAAGAGUUUGCAAAGUGACUUUCAGACAUUGAACUGAGUCACCAUCGUUUCCUGCUGAAGUUAUCCUAGAGAACCAGCCAUACCGCUCCCAGGCCAGCUGCCUGCUCUGAGCAGGACCAGCCAAUUAGCCACAGGAGUCCCAGGCGGCCCCAGCCUUUCAGUGACGCAGCACACACUUCGUUAUUUAUCCACCAGCCUUCAGGGCAAGCAAGAGAGGAAAACAAGCAAAUGGAAACAUUACACAGAGCAGCCAGCUUUCCUCGGCUCUCUUGUUUGUUCCUGAGCUGAGGACGGAAAGAAAAUCUCUUCACCUAAAAGGCAUGGAUUUUCCUGUGGAUUUGGAUUCUUCGACCAUGGAUUUGUGUCCCACUAGCCCUGUUUAUUCUGGGGGAAAAAAGCCCCUGUGGGAUAAAGAAUGGGAGGAAAACGGA